GCUUUGAUAUACUAAAAAUCAGAACUAAAAUUGGAAACCAUGCAAAGAUUAGCAUGACCCCUGAGCCAAGAUGACAUAUGCAAAUUCAUGAAGCGUUUCAUAUUUUU
ensembl:snRNA U6 U6 spliceosomal RNA